CGAGCAGAUUUUUUUUUUUAUUUAGAUCUAUGAUCAUCAAAUCAAAACCACGGAUCAACAUUUAUAACUUACCUUAGCAUGAUGAUUUCUUCUCUCAAUAUUUUCACUUGGUUGCUGAUGCAAUUCUCAGAGGCUUCUUCUAUUGUUUAGUGGUUUGAACUUUUCAUGGUAUAGUGGUUGUUGUACGUCCAAUUUCUAUCCACUACUACAAUCUUGCAGGCUCAGCAACUUAUGGCUUCAUUAUCUUGGUACCUCCAAUAAUGGCGCAAAGAGUCUGCAUUGAUAUUAGUCAAAAGUCACGGAUUUCACAAGAAGAUAUUAUAUCAGAAAUCAAUCUCUUGUAACUAAUUCUACAUUUUCACAAUGCUCAGUAGAUGAAAACUGAUGUUUUGUUGUCGCUAUGACGCAUGACCUUUACCAGUUUCUGUGUAUAUUAACUCUUUGUUCGUUUUGAAGUUUGAUCUCUAUUUCUUUCUAAUCCAGAGAGAUGAACAAGAGAACCUGAAAAAGCAUAUUGGUGGUUUUUCCAUUGGUUUUCAAUUUGGUUUCAAAAUCUUUAAUGUUCUUCGUACGGGGCUUUCAACAAUGGUGGAAGAAUGAGUAUGACGCGUGUCUAUCCAAAUAAAAUCAUAUACAUAAGUAGAACCAAGAUUUGAAGUAUUAAAGUUUUUUUUUGAUAGAUUUUGAAGCAUCAAUAUUUUAAAGUGACAAUUUUCGGAAG